UACGGAGGAGGCAAGCGUUAUCCGGAAUUAUUGGGCGUAAGGCGUCCGCAGGUGGCACUUCAAGUCUGUCGUCAAAGACUGGGGCUUAACCCUGGAAAGGCGGUGGAAACUGAAGCGCUAGAGUGCGGUAGGGGUAGAGGGAAUUCCCGGUGUAGCGGUGAAAUGCGUAGAGAUCGGGAAGAACAUCGGUGGCGAAAGCGCUCUACUGGACCGCAACUGACACUCAGGGACGAAAGCUAGGGGAGCGAAUGGG
rnacentral:rRNA from 1 species